rnacentral:rRNA from 1 species
UGGGGAAUAUUGCGCAAUGGGGAGAACCCUGACGCAGCCAUGCCGCGUGAAUGAAGAAGGCCUUCGGGUUGUAAAGUUCUUUCGGUAUUGAGGAAGGUUGAUGUGUUAAUAGCACAUCAAAUUGACGUUAAAUACAGAAGAAGCACCGGCUAACUCCGUGCCAGCAGCCGCGGUAAUACGGAGGGUGCGAGCGUUAAUCGGAAUAACUGGGCGUAAAGGGCACGCAGGCGGUUAUUUAAGUGAGGUGUGAAAGCCCUGGGCUUAACCUAGGAAUUGCAUUUCAGACUGGGUAACUAGAGUACUUUAGGGAGGGGUAGAAUUCCACGUGUAGCGGUGAAAUGCGUAGAGAUGUGGAGGAAUACCGAAGGCGAAGGCAGCCCCUUGGGAAUGUACUGACGCUCAUGUGCGAAAGCGUGGGGAGCAAACAGGAUUAGAUACCCUGGUAGUCCACGCUGUAAACGCUGUCGAUUUGGGGAUUGGGCUUAGAGCUUGGUGCCCGUAGCUAACGUGAUAAAUCGACCGCCUGGGGAGUACGGCCGCAAGGUUA